GGAAAUCAAACAAAAUUCGUGAAUAUCGUCUUUUCCUCUUUCUCAUCUUCACAAGUUUUCUACGUUUCUCCGGUCAAUCUAAGCCAUAAUUUGUUUUGCUUUUAACUAUUAAAAUCUCUAAUUACAUAAACGUUUGACGUGCUUCAUUGUCAAUUCCACCUCUCUCCUUAAUUGUAUGUAGUACGAAAAGUCGAAAAUCAAUGAUGCGAAGAGACACAGCCAUUGAUGUGAACCACCUCAAAAUCUCAGAUCAAGUACUGAUAUGGAUCAGAAUACUCUAACCUCAUGCUUUGUUUGAUUGCUUCCAAAUGGAUUAAAUCUGAAGAAUUUUGAUGUAUUUCAAGAGAACCAUGUCAGUUGGCUCCUUCUUGCGUGGAAAAUUGAAGAUUUUUUGAGAAGCUAAGAAAACGGCGGAGGUUAGGUCCGCCAAGCUGCAUUUCUGCAGAGUUAAGGAAGAUAAGGAUGAAGUCUUUGUGUUCCGGUGAACUAAUAGCACUUUAAGAUGAAGAAGACAACCAAUCCUAGCUUCGUGUAGGUUCAUUCUUAUUAAAGUAGCUGAGUUAUCUCUGUGUGAGACAAGUUCCUUGAACUACGAGGAGAGCGCUUUUGAGAAAAAUUGAGUAUCUGAAAGGACAACAUAUAAUGCAGUAUGAAGGCAGGCUUGCUCCUCCUCCAUUGUCUAACUUGCUGUGUUGUUUUGCUUUUAUGGAAAAUCUCUCCAACGUCUUAGAAGUAGUCACAAGUAACAAUCUUUUUAAAACUUUAGUUCUGUAUUUUAUUAUUUUGUUUCUUUUGCUAAACAUAGUGAUUCUUAUUGCACAUAGUCCCGCAGAGUUAUACUAAUAUAUAGUAGAGGUUUUUUAUCGGACGACUGAUGUGUCAGGUGAUACAUAGUUGCAGUAGACGCUAACCAAAGUAGUUGAGCUGCUUCCCCAAAUGUGGAAACUGCUGAUUUGUCGCGUGAUACUAUUUUGUUUUAUAGACGAGCGCUACUCAAACACAGGAAGCUUGAGUGUUGAUGAUUUGAGGGUGGCUUGAGUGUUAUGGUGAUAUGAUAUAUAUGUAUAUAUAUUAACAUUCAAAUCAGAAUCAAAAUAGUUUAUGAGGAAGAUCAUGUUCAUUAACACUUUCGUCCCAGCGGUUGCGCAAUCUGUAACUUUUAUAGGCUACCACAUAUUAGGUAUUUAGAAGACAUGUAAAGACGAGUGAGAGCCUUGCAUCAACAGCUUUGAAUGGUUAGACCAGUCUGGAGACCACAAAAAAGGCUUACCUGAAAAUCAUGUCUCUAUACUCUACCCUUGGCUCUUUGAGUUCUACAUCUAUAUCCAAAAGAAGAAGCCAAAAUCAGGAGCAAACAUGACUAUAGAAAAAUAAGGUAACACAAGAAGGCUAUAAGACACUUUUGUUGUUCUCAUUCUUAGUGUCACUUUUGAUUUUAGUGGUUUUCUGGUUCUUGAAAAACUACCGAAGCUACCUAUCUUUGUAUUUUUUUUUGUAAAGCACCUAUCUUUGUAUAAGUAAAUAUGCUGCCACCUUAUUUCAUUUUAAUCUGCGUAAAUAGAGUCUUUGCCAUUUAUUACACACUUAUUUGUCUUCAUGGCUUCCAUUUGAUUUCAAAUACAUAUAUGUUUUUAAAUGAUUUAAUGUUAUGUUCUUAGAUCUUUAUUUUA